rnacentral:rRNA from 1 species
GAUGAACGCUGGCGGCGUGCCUAAUACAUGCAAGUCGAGCGAACAGACGAUGAGCUUGCUCCUCUUUCGUUAGCGGCGGACGUGUGAUUAACUCGUGUAUAACCUUCCUAUAAUACUGGUAUACCUUCGGGUAUCCGUAUCUAAUACCGUAUAAUAUAUUUAACCGCAUGUUUCAUUAGUUAUUUUCUUUUUUGCUGUCUCUUUUAGCUCUUUCCGCGCCGCAUUUGCUAGUUGGUAUGGUAACGGCUUACCAAGGUAACGAUGCGUAUCCGACGUGAGCGGGUGAUCGGCCACACUGGAACUGAGACACGGUCCAGACUCCUACGGGAGGCAGCAGUAGGGAAUCGUCCGCAAUGGGCGAAAGCCUGACGGAGCAACGCCGCGUGAGUGAUGAAGGUCUUCGGAUCGUAAAACUCUGUUAUUAGGGAAGAACAAAUGUGUAAGUAACUAUGCACGUCUUGACGGUACCUAAUCAGAAAGCCACGGCUAACUACGUG